rnacentral:rRNA from 1 species
UCGACGAGUUUGAUCCUGGCUCAGAACGAACGCUGGCGGCAUGCCUAACACAUGCAAGUCGAACGAACCCUUCGGGGUGAGUGGCGCACGGGUGCGUAACGCGUGGGAACCUGCCCUUAGGUUCGGAAUAACGUUUCGAAAGGAACGCUAAUACCGGAUAAUGUCUUCGGACCAAAGAUUUAUCGCCUUUGGAUGGGCCCGCGUUGGAUUAGCUAGUUGGUGGGGUAAAGGCUCACCAAGGCGACGAUCCAUAGCUGGUCUUAGAGGAUGAUCAGCCACACUGGGACUGAGACACGGCCCAGACUCCUACGGGAGGCAGCAGUGGGGAAUAUUGGACAAUGGGCGAAAGCCUGAUCCAGCAAUGCCGCGUGAGUGAUGAAGGCCUUAGGGUUGUAAAGCUCUUUUACCAGGGAUGAUAAUGACAGUACCUGGAGAAUAAGCUCCGGCUAACUCCGUG